rnacentral:rRNA from 1 species
UACGUAGGUGGCAAGCGUUAUCCGGAAUUACUGGGUGUAAAGGGAGCGUAGGCGGGACGGCAAGUCAGAUGUGAAAACUGAGGGCUCAACUUUCAGACUGCAUUUGAAACUGCUGUUCUUGAGUGAAGUAGAGGUAAGCGGAAUUCCUAGUGUAGCGGUGAAAUGCGUAGAUAUUAGGAAGAACACCAGUGGCGAAGGCGGCUUUCUGGACUGAAACUGACGCUGAGGCACGAAAGCGUGGGGAGCGAACAGG